AACUUAAGCCAGGAAAUCCGUGGAAUGGGCUGGGGAGCCUGACGCUAUACUAGCGGAGCUGGAUUCGGCACUUCACAAGGUCCCCGAUGUUGAGAAUUCGAACGCUAGCAAGUGCGUGCUUACCAAGCACGAUUGUGCCAAGCGUUUUGUUGAUCAGGAAAUCAACUCGUACAUGGCAU